AGUGAACGCUGGCGGUAGGCCUAACACAUGCAAGUCGAACGGCAGCACAGUAAGAGCUUGCUCUUACGGGUGGCGAGUGGCGGACGGGUGAGGAAUACAUCGGAAUCUACUUUUUCGGGGGGGAUAACGUAGGGAAACUUACGCUAAUACCGCAUACGACCUACGGGUGAAAGCAGGGGAGCUUCGGACCUUGCGCGAUUGAAUGAGCCGAUGUCGGAUUAGCUAGUUGGCGGGGUAAAGGCCCACCAAGGCGACGAUCCGUAGCGGGUCUGAGAGGAUGAUCAGCCACACUGGAACUGAGACACGGUCCAGACUCCUACGGGAGGCAGCAGUGGGGAAUCUUGGACAAUGAGCGCAAGCCUGAUCCAGCCAUACCGCGUGGGUGAAGAAGGCCUUCGGGUUGUAAAGCCCUUUUGUUGGGAAAGAAAAGCAGCAGGUUAAUCCCCCGCUGUUCUGACGGUACCCAAAGAAUAAGCCCCGGCUAACUUCGUG
rnacentral:rRNA from 1 species